UAAUUGAAGAGUUUGAUCAUGGCUCAGAUUGAACGCUGGCGGCAGGCUUAACACAUGCAAGUCGGGCGGAAACGAAAGAAAGCUUGCUUUCUUGGCGUCGAGCGGCGGACGGGUGAGUAAUGCCUGGGAAAUUGCCCUGAUGUGGGGGAUAACCAUUGGAAACGAUGGCUAAUACCGCAUAACGUCUACGGACCAAAGAGGGGGACCUUCGGGCCUC
rfam:Vibrio aerogenes CECT 7868 genome assembly, contig: 0015